GACAGAGGCCUCGAGCGUUAGGCGGAAUCACUGGGCUUAAAGCGUGUGUAGGCGGGCCCGUAAGUGUCUUGUGAAAUCCCACGGCUCAACCGUGGAACUGCUGGGCAUACUGCGGGUCUUGGGCCAACUAGGGGCAGCCGGAACAAGCGGUGGAGCGGUGAAAUGCGUAGAUAUCGUUUGGAACGCCGAAGGUGAAAACAGGCUGCUGGGGUUGCGCCGACGCUGAGACACGAAAGCCAGGGGAGCAAACGGG
rnacentral:rRNA from 1 species